rnacentral:lncRNA from 1 species
ACAGAACCUCUGACCUUGCUAUUUUAUUAACAGAAAAGUCUACCCGCACUUGGUAUUCGGUGGCCCAUGCCGGGCCGUACUCUAUGCAGCCGCACCUCUUCCUGCCUGGAGUUUGGGGUUGUCAGGCUCGAGCUGGCGCCUUCUCCUGGGACUCAGGAUGCCGGGGCUGCCCAAGCCGCGGGCCCGGCAGCGCUGGGGGGCCGGGCGGGGCCUGCCUGGCCCAGGAGGAUCUGCACCAGCAGGUCGGUGGCCAGCACAUGCGACGGCUCCUCGAAGCCGAUGGUUAGUAGCUGCUGGUAGUCCCCGGGUGGCUGUGGGCACAAAAUCCUGGGGGCAUAGAAACAACUCUGGACCUGAGCCCCUCUGCCCCUCAGCUGGGAGGGUCUUUGUUUCAACUAGGGGUGGGGGAUACCCUAAGGGAAAGAAUUUCCUCUGUUGACAAACUCUGGAGUUGAAGCACUGGACUUGAGGCUACUAAACACUUUUCUGGCUGUUGUCUCCCUGAGAGAAUGACUUAUCUGCUCUGAAAACAUGCUUUCUUUG